rnacentral:rRNA from 1 species
UGCUCCUAGUACGAGAGGACCGGAGUGGACGCAUCACUGGUGUUCGGGUUGUCAUGCCAAUGGCACUGCCCGGUAGCUAAAUGCGGAAGAGAUAAGUGCUGAAAGCAUCUAAGCACGAAACUUGCCCCGAGAUGAGUUCUCCCUGAGACUUUAAGUCGCCAGAAGGAACGUUAAAGACGAUGACGUUGAUAGGCCGGGUGUGUAAGCGCAGCGAUGCGUUGAGCUAACCGGUACUAAUGAACCGU